UAUUAAGGUGCGUCCUGAUCUAAAGUCAGAACUUCAGAGGCUCGAAGCGGGCUUUUCCUUGGUAACGUAGAAGGAUCUGGAUGAAAAUGUGUGUCUGGCGUGAAAGCUUUCUUCCAUGCAUCUUUCGCCAACUGUGUCCCUUAGUUGUGGAGAGUCUGCAUCAGCUAUUUCAGCAGUAUUUACACCAGAGAAAUGGGCAAUGUCGCACACAGGCCUCUCACCCCCAGCGUCCACUGCUAUGGAGGUGUCUGCACAUCCUUACCUGUAAAGCUUCACUUCUGGCACAAGACCUGCCGCCUGACCUCUCUGAUGGAUUUAGCUCUUGCUAUCUCUGCCACCACAGCCUUGCACUUGGGAGAGUGGGACACAAACCUAGAAUUGUGUGGCAGGUAAAGGAUGACCAGGGUCAGAAAAGGAGAAAAUAAUACAAUCACAGGCCGAACUGCGGACUUUUUUGGGGCUCUCACUGUACUUGGGGAAGUGAGGGAGGUCAGGGAGGAUGGGAAAUAAAGUGAGCAUGCCUCUGGUGUUUA